ACAGCUAGAUGCAUUACAUUUACUUCUAGAUGUGCUUUGUAUACAUACAAAGUUAGAAAUGUUAGUUCUGUAGAACCUGUAAGAAUUAUCGCAGGUAUGUCAAAUAGUUUAUUAUGGUAAAUUAGUUGUACUAAUUUAAAGGAGCCAUGUAAGUGUAUUUGAUUUAGUCGACAAAAAGGUUAGAGCGCCAUCUUCGGCGACAGACUUUUAUAGACAGAGUUUCAAAGUCAAACAAUGAUCAAUGAAGAACAAUGAGAAAUCGAUGAUUAAUUGCAACAUAUUCUUAGCUGCAGACAAGUUAAUUGACUAAAAGGAGGCAAGAAGUUUUCACGGAGUGAAAAGAACAGAGUUAAAAGAAAGGAGUCAAAGAAAGGAAGCUACGCUCCUACCAAAGAAUAAAAGAACACUCCCGUAAAAA
rnacentral:lncRNA from 1 species